GCCGCCUUCCCCGCCUGCUCGUCCCCUCCGCCGCGCCCCUUGGAUCCCGAGCGCCUCAUCGCGGCGGAGAGGGCGGCCGCCUUCUUGCCCCCGGCGUCGUGUCGCUUGGCCUCCGUGAGGAUGGGAUUGGUGUGCAACAUCGUGUGGCGGAGGCGGAGGCGGAGACGGAGGAGGGGGAGAGGGAACGCAUCGGCGGCGGCGCGG
rnacentral:lncRNA from 1 species